AGAGAUUUAAUAGUCGAACAGACUAACCCUUGAAGAUUUCUGCUCCUACAGGCCCCUCUAGUCCAACAUCGAGGUCGCAAACUCUUUUUUCGAUUAGAACUCUCAAAAAAAAUAACGCUGUUAUCCCUACGGUAGCUUUUCUAUAUAUCAUCCUAUGGAUCAAUACUUAUGUGUAUUAAAUUAUUCAAGGAAGUUUUAAUUAUUCCUCAGUCGCCCCAACCAAAAAUUCUUUUAUUUAAGCCAACUAAAAAUUUAAAGCUCGAUAGGGUCUUCUUGUCUAUCAAAUAAAUAUAGGCCUUUUCACCUAUAAGUUAAGUUCUAAAAAAAUAUCCUGAGACAGCUUAACUCUUGUUCAACCAUUCAUACCAGCCUCUAAUUAAGAGACAAAUGAUUAUGCUACCUUUGCACAGUCAGGAUACUGCGGCCGUUAAUAAAUUAAUUUUUACACCGGGCAGGUCAGACUCUAUAUAUAUUCAUAGAGCC
rnacentral:rRNA from 1 species